CGUUGUUAAAGUUGAUUGAGGAAUAUGAUCCUAUAUUUUUGGUGUUUAUUUUGGAUGGUCCGGAGUUUUUGGCUGCAACUAUUUUGGACAGAGAUAUGCUUGCUAUUGCUGUAAAUUGGUACCAUGUCGGUUGGUUUUGCUUGGUAAGAUUUGUGAGGAUGCGUCGGACAAACAACAUUGGGAAAAUAUACAGUCUUGAGCCUUGAUGACCAAUGUAUAUCUCUAUUUGAGGAAUUCUCCAAAGAUCCAGAGCCGAUUGUUUCAUAGAGCUGUGAAGUUGCGUUAAACAUACUGGAUUUUGAAUGAUCCGACAAACCAUUCGAGGUACUUGGAAGAUUAAGUCUCUUAUCUGGGUGGUUGUUACAGGUUUAGGAUGCUAAAUGAUUUUGGAUGUACUCUGCGAUGUCGAUGAUGCAGAGAUGUUGGUGAAGCUCGGGUUAACAACUUCAUGUGUAUAUUUUAAUAAAUAAAGUUUUUGUUGUUUAUAUUUUCUAAUUUAAACUUUUAAUUAACUUCUAAAUUUAAUUAAAUGAGUUUGUUUUGCAGGUUCGAACAACUUCAUGUGUAUAUUUUAUUAUAAAAAAGAAAAGUUUUUUUUUUGUUUCAUGGGUCGUUCAGAGAGGCAAGUUUCUGCCUCCGGUUCUUGCCCGAAGUUUCUGACCUUACUCGCAACCCAUUGACUACAACUUUCAAUUCAAAACAAUUAUAAAAAAAUUACGUUUGAAAACA